rnacentral:rRNA from 1 species
GAUGAACGCUGGCGGCGUGCUUAACACAUGCAAGUCGAACGGUGAAGCAGAGCUUGCUCUGUGGAUCAGUGGCGAACGGGUGAGUAACACGUGAGCAACCAGCCCCUGACUCUGGGAUAAGCGCUGGAAACGGCGUCUAAUACUGGAUAUGAGCUGCGACCGCAUGGUCAGCAGUUGGAGAGAUUUUUCGGUCUGGGAUGGGCUCACGGCCUAUCAGCUUGUUGGUGAGGUAAUGGCUCACCAAGGCGUCGACGGGUAGCCGGCCUGAGAGGGUGACCGGCCACACUGGGACUGAGACACGGCCCAGACUCCUACGGGAGGCAGCAGUGGGGAAUAUUGCACAAUGGGCGAAAGCCUGAUGCAGCAACGCCGCGUGAGGGAUGACGGCCUUCGGGUUGUAAACCUCUUUUAGCAGGGAAGAAGCGAAAGUGACGGUACCUGCAGAAAAAGCGCCGGCUAACUACGUGCCAGCAGCCGCGGUAAUACGUAGGGCGCAAGCGUUAUCCGGAAUUAUUGGGCGUAAAGAGCUCGUAGGCGGUUUGUCGCGUCUGCUGUGAAAUCCCGAGGCUCAACCUCGGGUCUGCAGUGGGUACGGGCAGACUAGAGUGCGGUAGGGGAGAUUGGAAUUCCUGGUGUAGCGGUGGAAUGCGCAGAUAUCAGGAGGAACACCGAUGGCGAAGGCAGAUCUCUGGGCCGUUACUGACGCUGAGGAGCGAAAGGGUGGGGAGCAAACAGGCUUAGAUACCCUGGUAGUCCACCCCGUAAACGUUGGGAACUAGUUGUGGGGUCCAUUCCACGGAUUCCGUGACGCAGCUAACGCAUUAAGUUCCCCGCCUGGGGAGUACGGCCGCAAGGCUAAAACUCAAAGGAAUUGACGGGGACCCGCACAAGCGGCGGAGCAUGCGGAUUAAUUCGAUGCAACGCGAAGAACCUUACCAAGGCUUGACAUAUACGAGAACGGGCCAGAAAUGGUCAACUCUUUGGACACUCGUAAACAGGUGGUGCAUGGUUGUCGUCAGCUCGUGUCGUGAGAUGUUGGGUUAAGUCCCGCAACGAGCGCAACCCUCGUUCUAUGUUGCCAGCACGUAAUGGUGGGAACUCAUGGGAUACUGCCGGGGUCAACUCGGAGGAAGGUGGGGAUGACGUCAAAUCAUCAUGCCCCUUAUGUCUUGGGCUUCACGCAUGCUACAAUGGCCGGUACAAAGGGCUGCAAUACCGUGAGGUGGAGCGAAUCCCAAAAAGCCGGUCCCAGUUCGGAUUGAGGUCUGCAACUCGACCUCAUGAAGUCGGAGUCGCUAGUAAUCGCAGAUCAGCAACGCUGCGGUGAAUACGUUCCCGGGUCU